AUUCAAACAUUAAAGUGUUCACAUAUUUAUGAAUGAAUUUGUUUUAUCAUUGUUCCCUUGAGGAAUAUUAUAAAAGGGGAAGCAUAUAAGCUUAUUGAUUAAAAAUAUAAUCACCCAAUAUUAUUAAGAAAUUAAUUCCCUUUUCUCCAAUUUGAUCUUCUUUCCCCUCUCUUUUGAAGCCAUGAAUCACAAAACCCUCUCUUUGUUUUUCUUAAAUUGUUUUGUCAUAAUUCUCUUUCUAUCCUCAAUAACCUUUGGGAGAUUGCAAGGUCAUCGAGGUGAUGGCUAUAACAUUGGAGAAGGAUUGCAUGCGAGUAAAAGAACUUUUACUCCUUGUAUUCGCUCACCCCCUUCAAUAUCACCAUCCGCUAAUGGAUCAUGAGUGAGUAGCAAAAUAUCUAUUGAGCAAGACUAUUGUUGAACCCUCACAUCUUAAGAAUUUUAUAGUAUAUUUGUGCUUAUUUAUAAAUGUUGUUUGAACAAUUGUAUUUUGGACAGAAUUACCUGAUAUUUGUUGCUGAUUAGAGGUGACAGAUAUUCCGUAAAUUUAAUCGAGGUGUGUAAAAACUGGUACUGGCCUAGACACCAUGAUUAUAAAAAAAAAAAAAUUGUAUUUUGGAUAUUCUAGAAUUGCUUAUGGAAUUAAGCUAGCAAUAAGGAAUACUAAUGUUAAUUAAAGGAAAUUAGCACUUUUAGUCCUUCAAUAAUUGGUAAAUUUUGAUUUAGUACCUUAUGAUUUCUUGUAUAAGCAUGUUUAGCCUUCAAUUCAAUGGUAUUGCAAACUUUUGAUC